rnacentral:tRNA from 2 species
GGGGCUAUAGUUAAUAAUAACAUUUGAGUUGCAUUCAAAAAGUACUACCCAAGUAGUUAGUCUCA